rnacentral:tRNA from 1 species
GGGGGUGUAGCUCAGAUGGUUAGAGCACCGGCCUGUCACGCCGGGGGUCGCGAGUUCGAGUCUCGUCACUCCCGCCA